rnacentral:rRNA from 1 species
GUGCGAGCGUUGUCCGGAAUUACUGGGCGUAAAGAGCUCGUAGGCGGUUUGUCACGUCGUCUGUGAAAUCCCCCGGCUUAACCGGGGGCGUGCAGGCGAUACGGGCAGACUUGAGUACUACAGGGGAGACUGGAAUUCCUGGUGUAGCGGUGAAAUGCGCAGAUAUCAGGAGGAACACCGGUGGCGAAGGCGGGUCUCUGGGUAGUAACUGACGCUGAGGAGCGAAAGCAUGGGGAGCGAACA